UUGCUUUGGCAGCAUAUAUAUUAAAAUUGGAACAAUACAGAGAAGAUUAGCUUGGCCCCUGGACAAGUUGUGUGAGAUGCCUUUAGCCAUUCAAGCAGAUGGUUCUU